GACGAACGCUGGCGGCGUGCUUAACACAUGCAAGUCGAACGGAAAGGCCCUGCUUUUGUGGGGUGCUCGAGUGGCGAACGGGUGAGUAACACGUGAGUAACCUGCCCUGUACUUUGUGAUAACUUCAGGAAACUGGUGCUAAUACCGGAUAGGAGCUCCUGCUGCAUGGUGGGGUUUGGAACGUUUCGGCGGUUGGGGAUGGACUCGCGGCUUAUCAGCUUGUUGGUGGGGUAGUGGCUUACCAAGGCUUUGACGGGUAGCCGGCCUGGGAGGGUGACCGGCCACAUUGGGACUGAGAUACGGCCCAGACUCCUACGGGAGGCAGCAGUGGGGAAUAUUGCACAAUGGGCGGAAGCCUGAUGCAGCGACGCCGCGUGCGGGAUGACGGCCUUCGGGUUGUAAACCGCUUUCGCCUGUGACGAAGCGUGAGUGACGGUAAUGGGUAAAGAAGCACCGGCUAACUACGUG
rnacentral:rRNA from 1 species